rnacentral:rRNA from 1 species
AAAUAGAACGUUAAAGGGUGUAGUUAUAUCUGCGGUAGGCAAAUCCGCUGUGGAUGAUGAACCUGAUAGUACACAAAGCCUUCGGGCGGCGUGAUAGUGACGCUAAUCCUGCUCGCGAGAAAAACCUCUAAGGCUAGGUUAAAGUGGCUCGUACCGUAAACCGACACAGGUAGUCGAGAUGAGUAUUCUAAGGCGCUCGGGUGAGCCGUGGAGAAGGAACUAGGCAAAUUAACGCUGUAACUUCGGGAUAAAGCGUACCGCAGCGAUGCGGUCACAGUAAAAUGGUUCAACCAACUGUUUAGCAAAAACACAGGGCCCUGCAAAAUCGAAAGAUGACGUAUAGAGCCUGAUACCUGCCCGGUGCUGGAAGGUUAAGGAAGCUUGUCAGGGGUUAAACCCGAAGCUUGCGACCGAAGCCCCAGUAAACGGCGGCCGUAACGAUAACGGUCCUAAGGUAGCGAAAUUCCUUGUCGGGUAAGUUCCGACCUGCACGAAUGGUCUAAUGAGUUGAACACUGUCUCCUCCACGAGCCCGGUGAAAUUGUAGUAUCGGUGAAGAUGCCGGUUACCCGCCACGGGACGAAAAGACCCCGUGAACCUUCACUACAACUUUGCAUUGAUUUUGAGUAACAGAUGUGUAGCAUAGUUGGGAGACUAUGAAGCGGGGGCGCCAGCCCUCGUGGAGUCACCGUUGAAAUACCAACCUUCUGUUACUUAGAGUCUAAUCCAGUGAUGGAAACAGUGCAUGGUGUGUAGUUUGACUGGGGUGGUCGCCUCCUAAAAAGUAACGGAGGCUCGCAAAGGUUCCCUCAGUACGGUUGGUAAUCGUACGUAGAGCGCAUUAGUAUAAGGGAGCUUGACUGUGAGGCUGACCAGCCGAGCAGGUGCGAAAGCAGGCUAAAGUGAUCCGGUGGUUCUGUAUGGAAGGGCCAUCGCUCAAAGGAUAAAAGGUACUCCGGGAUAACAGGCUGAUCUCCCCCAAGAGCUCAUAUCGACGGGGAGGUUUGGCACCUCGAUGUCGGUUCGUCACAUCCUGGGGCUGGAGAAGGUCCCAAGGGUUGGGCUGUUCGCCCAUUAAAGUGGCACGUGAACUGGGUUCAGAACGUCGCAAGACAGUUCGGUCUCUAUCUGUGGUGGGCGUUAGUAAAUUGCGUGGACAUGACCUUAGUACGAGAGGACCGGGUCGUAUGUACCGCUGGUGUAUCUGUUGUGCCGCCAGGUGCAGUGCAGAGUAGCUAUGUACAGCCAGGAUAAGCGCUGAAAGCAUCUAAGCGCGAAACCUUCCACAAGAUGAGUUUACUUUUAAGGGUCGUCAGAGACGAUGACGUUGAUAGGCUGCAGGUGUAAAGGUGGUAACAUCAAAGCCGAGCAGUACUAAUUACCCGUAAGCUUUAACC